GUACGAGGUCUCCACACUAUGCGAAAGCGUGAUGGGGGAAUCCUAAGUGCUAUUACUUCGGUAAUGGCUUUUGCCGACCGUAAAUAGUUCGGCGAAUAAGUGGUGGGUAAGACGGGUGCCAGCAGCCGCGGUAACACCCGCGCCACGAGUGGCAAUCGGUAUUAUUGGGCCUAAAGCGUCCGUAGCCGGCUUUGUAAAUCUUUUGUGAAAUCGUAGGGCAUAACUCAACGACGUGCAUAAGACACUGCAAAGCUAGAGACCAGGAGGUGUGGAAGGUAUUCCGUGGGGAGCGGUAAAAUGCUAUAAUCCUCGGAGGACCAUCGAUGGCGAAGGCAUUCCACAAGAAUGGUUCUGACGGUGAGGGACGAAAGCCAGGGGAGCAAUCCGG
rnacentral:rRNA from 1 species